rnacentral:rRNA from 1 species
CCUACGGGAGGCAGCAGUGGGGAAUAUUGGGCAAUGGGCGCAAGCCUGACCCAGCAACGCCGCGUGAAGGAAGAAGGCUCUCGGGUUGUAAACUUCUUUUGACAGGGAAGAGUAGAAGACGGUACCUGUCGAAUAAGCUACGGCUAACUACGUGCCAACAGCCGCGGUAAUACGUAGGUGGCAAGCGUUGUCCGGAUUUACUGGGUGUAAAGGGCGUGUAGGCGGGUUGAGAAGUCAGAUGUGAAAUCCUGCGGCUUAACCGCAGAACUGCAUUUGAAACUGUUGGUCUUGAGUACUGGAGAGGCAGACGGAAUUCGUAGUGUAGCGGUGAAAUGCGUAGAUAUUAGGAAGAACGCCAGUGGCGAAGGCAGUCUGCUGGACAGCAACUGACGGUGAGGCGCGAAAGCGUGGGGAGCAAACAGGAUUAGAUACCCUAGUAGUC